rnacentral:rRNA from 1 species
UACGUAGGGUGCAAGCGUUAUCCGGAAUUAUUGGGCGUAAAGAGCUCGUAGGCGGUUUGUCGCGUCUGCUGUGAAAACCCGAGGCUCAACCUCGGGCCUGCAGUGGGUACGGGCAGACUAGAGUGGCGGUAGGGGAGAUUGGAAUUCCUGGUGUAGCGGUGGAAUGCGCAGAUAGUCAGGAGGAACACCGAUGGCGAAGGCAGAUCUCUGGGACCGUAACUGACGCUGAGGAGCGAAAGCGUGGGGAGCGAACAGG